rnacentral:tRNA from 1 species
GCCUGAGUGGCGGAAUAGGUAGACGCGAUGGAUUUAAAAUCCAUUGUCAGCAAUGACGUGCCGGUUCAAGUCCGGCCUUGGGUACCA